GGAGUCGGUGAGAAGGUCGCCGGCUUGCCGCAAGGUGAGCGGGAGGAAAGUCCGGGCUUUACAGGGCAGGAUGCUGGCUAACGGCCAGUCAAGGUGACUUGCAGGAAAGUGCCACAGAAAACAGACCGCCAGCUUCGGCUGGUAAGGGUGAAAAGGUGCGGUAAGAGCGCACCGGGGCUUUGGUGACAGAGCUCGCACGGAAAACCCCAUCCAAAGCAAGACCGCAUAGAGGGUGAAGCUCGCUCCCGAGGUGGCCCGCCUCGCUCCGCAAGGAGACUCUCAGGUAGGUCGCUUGAGCCCCCGCGCAAGUGUGGGCCUAGAUGAAUGACCUUCGCGCCCCCGCAAGGGGACGAACAGAACCCGGCUUACCGCCGACUUCGACG
rnacentral:RNase_P_RNA from 1 species